AUACGUAGGGUGCAAGCGUUAAUCGGAAUUACUGGGCGUAAAGCGUGCGCAGGCGGUUUUGUAAGACAGUGGUGAAAUCCCCGGGCUCAACCUGGGAACUGCCAUUGUGACUGCAAGGCCGGAGUGCGGCAGAGGGGGAUGGAAUUUCGCGUGUAGCAGUGAAAUGCGUAGAUAUGCGGAGGAACACCGAUGGCGAAGGCAAUCCCCUGGGCCUGCACUGACGCUCAUGCACGAAAGCGUGGGGAGCAAACAGGAUUAGAUACCCUGGUAGUCCACGCCCUAAACGAUGUCAACUGGUUGUUGGGGAUUUAUUUUCUCAGUAACGAAGCUAACGCGUGAAGUUGACCGCCUGGGGAGUACGGCCGCAAGGUUAAAACUCAAAGGAAUUGACGGGG
rnacentral:rRNA from 1 species